AAUUCAAACAACCUGAAUUCUCAUUUUCAUGGAUUGCGUCUGCGAACGUCUCAGAGUCGCGCCAGAAGGUUGCCUCACCCUCGUUGGUUUCCCAAGGAACAUGGCGAACCGGAAAUAGAGGAUGAACCACUGGCCAUAGAGUACAAAGAGGCGGAGGCUGGCACAUUUCCGGCGACCCAUCUACCGCCAGGUCCAGUCACUCCCACUGGCACUCCUGUCCCCAUGCUAUACUCUGACGCGCUUUGUGGCAGAACCCAAGACUUUCCAGACAUCGAGUACUAUAAAAUACAGAUAUUGCGAGAUUUAUCCUAAGAUGUUAUAAAAAUGUAUUAAAGUUUGUAACAGUGUUAUAAAAGGUAUUAUGAAAGGUAUUAUAAAAUGUAGGUAGUAUGUCAGGAAGGAUGAGAAGGUGUAAAUGUUUUAAGCGAAAUAAAGUUUUGAUGCUAAAAUAAAAUUAGGAUUAUAUAGAUAUAUUAAAACUACGAAAGUAGAAUGUAACGCAAAAAGGGCCCCUCAAACACGGACUAAG
rnacentral:misc_RNA from 1 species